GGUUAUAUCGACUUUUAAUAUAUUUUUAUUUCUUCAUUAAUCUUUAAUAACUAUUUAUAUGUUUGAUGAAUAUUUGCAGCAAACAAUGAAGAAAAUGCUCUAAGAAAUUUGAAGACUCCGAUCCAGGAACUAUAGAGGCAAGAUCUCUUUCAGUGAUGAGAGCAAGAGUGCGUACAGCUCUAUGAAUCGGAUAUAGAACCAAUGGGCAACGCUUGGUUACAAUUUCGAAUCCGUUAUUAUAUGUUUGCGAGGAUGGACUACCGGAGAUGGGGCUUCAGCAUCAACAGGGAUGCAUUGAACAUAUAUCUCUUGGAAUGGUUCUGGCAUUGAUGAGUUGGGAAUGGUUCUGGCAUUGAUGAGUUGGGCACUUCAGGCUGUUAUAACAUGUGUCUGCAUUAGAUUCAUUAUUUGUGGGUUGCUGAUCAUGCAUGACGUUAUAAUUGAGGUGAAGUAGAUCAUUGCAUAUUGCAGUAGAUGAAUCUUGACAGCCAACGAUGGAGUAUCAUUGGCCUUUUCCGUAGUAAUGUAUUUUCUCUUAUUCCUAACAAGUAAUAAUUCUUACUAAACAAUAUAACACAUUGUAAAAUAUAGGAGUAUUAGCUUCUGAACACUUUGUAAGUUGACAUAUAAGGAAGAAGAUGAUUUUCGAAUAUAUCUUUGUAUUGUAAAU